GACAUCAGGUCAGGAAUGAAUUUGUGAAAUGUACAAAUCAACUGUAAUUCAAUAUGAAACAAUAAUUGAACACCUACUGUAUGCCUAGAAUUGCUAGGUGCUGGUGAUACUAUCGUGCUGAAGCAGAUCCAGGUUUUACCUUCAAAAGACGCUAUUAAAAUCCAGAAUGGGUGCCAGUGCUGCGGCAUAGCGGGUUAACCCUCCCCCUGUGGCUGCAGCAGUACAUAUGUGUGCAGGUAUGAGUCCCAGCUGCUCCACUUCCAAUCCAGCUCCUUGCUAAUGUGCCUGGGAAAGAAGUGGAAGAUGAUCCAAGUGCUUGGGUCCAUGCACCUGCAUGGGAGGCCGGGAAGAAGCCCCUGACUUCGGAUCCACCCAGUUCUGGCUGUUGUGGCCAUCUGGGGAGUGAACCAGCAGGUGGAAGACUCUGUCUCUGUCUCUCUCUCUCUCUCUCUCUGUAACUCUGCCUCUCAAAUAAAUAAGUAGAUUUUUUAAAAAAUUAAAUAAAACCCAGAGUGGUACAUAUACAACCAACUGACCAAGAGGAUCCCAGGAGAGAAUUAAGAAGACAUAUCUGGGCCGGCGCCGUGGCUCAAUAGGCUAAUCCUCUGCCAGCAGCACCGGCACACCGGGUUCUAGUCCCGGUCGGGGUGCCGGUUUCUGUCCCGGUUGCCCCUCUUCCAGGCCAGCUCUCUGUUGUGGCCCGAGAGUGCAGUGGAGGAUGGCCCAAGUGGUUGGGCCCUGCACCCACAUGGGAGUCCAGGAGAAGCACCUGGCUCCUGGCUUCAGAUCAGCAUGGCGCGCCAGCCGCAGUGGCCAUUGGAGGGUGAACCAAUGGUAAAGGAAGACCUUUCUCUCUGUCUCUCUCUCUCUCUCUCAGUGUCCACUCUGCCUGUCAAGAAGAAGAAGAAGAAGAAGAAGAAGAAGAAGAAGAAGAAGAAGAAGAAGAAGAAGAAGAAGAAGAGGAGGAGGAGGAGGAGGAGGAGGAGGAGGAGGAAGAGGAGGAGGAGGAGGAGGAAGAAGAAGAAGAAGACGAAGAAGAAGACAUAUCUGUUAGAACCUGCAUACAAGGUCAGAAGAGUCUCUGAACUGAAUCUCUUAAAGAGUUAUCCAGGCGAUCUAUCUUCAGCAAACCAAAGGCAAAACAGAUGGGAGAGACUCUGGCCCAACAAAGUUCUGGGAAGAACACAUUCCACACAGGCUGUCUCCGGAUCUGUGCCAAUCAGGAAGCUGCUCCGUAGAUGCUGACCUUGCACUUGUUGAUGCCACACCUCAGUGUAUCACCAGCAUGGGUGCCCGACAAGGGUUUUAUUUUCCAGAGCUUCUGAUUCCAACACUUUCUCUGGCUGUCAGACAUAUUCCCAAUACUCAAAGACACUAAGAAUAUCAUGCAUUUCAGAACUGGGACAUUUUACAAAUCAAUGGGAAAAAUAACUCAUACUGUUCAAAAGAGAUUGUAUAAGCAAGGAAUAUGCACAGCCUGUGGGUGUGACCCAUAAACAGUUGAAAACAAGUUAAUGUGGGGCUGAAGGAAGCAGUAAGUGCAAAUCAAAACUAUAAAUAAACAUUUCUGGGCCAAUAAGAAGCA
ensembl:lncRNA